UGGGGAAUAUUGCACAAUGGGGGGAAACCCUGAUGCAGCGACGCCGCGUGAACGAAGAAGGUAUUCGUAUCGUAAAGUUCUGUCCUAUGGGAAGAUAAUGACAGUACCAUAGAAGAAAGCUCCGGCUAAAUACGUGCCAGCAGCCGCGGUAAUACGUAUGGAGCGAGCGUUGUCCGGAAUUAUUGGGCGUAAAGGGUACGCAGGCGGUUUAAUAAGUCGAAUGUUAAAGAUCGGGGCUCAACCCCGUAAAGCAUUGGAAACUGAUAAACUUGAGUAGUGGAGAGGAAAGUGGAAUUCCUAGUGUAGUGGUGAAAUACGUAGAUAUUAGGAGGAAUACCAGUAGCGAAGGCGACUUUCUGGACACAAACUGACGCUGAGGUACGAAAGCGUGGGGAGCAAACAGG
rnacentral:rRNA from 1 species